rnacentral:rRNA from 1 species
UACGGGGGGAGCAAGCGUUGUCCGGAAUCACUGGGCGUAAAGGGCGCGUAGGUGGCGGCCCAAGUCCGUGGUGAAAGCUCGCCGCUUAACGGCGAGUCGGCCACGGAGACUGGGUGGCUCGAGCACUGUAGGGGCAGAUGGAAUUCCGGGUGUAGCGGUGGAAUGCGUAGAGAUCCGGAAGAACACCAGUGGCGAAGGCGGUCUGCUGGGCAGUUGCUGACACUGGAUGCGCGACAGCGUGGGGAGCGAACAGG